rnacentral:misc_RNA from 1 species
GAUGAAGAACGCAGCGAAAUGCGAUACUUGGCGUGAAUUGCAGAAUCCCGUGAACCAUCGAGUCUUUGAACGCAAGUUGCGCCCGAAGCCACUAGGCCGAGGGCACGCCUGCCUGGGCGUCACACGUCGUUGCCCCCCACCAUCUACUCCUUCGGGAUUGCGGGGGGCGGAUGAUGGCCUCCCGUGCGCCUAGCCGCGCGGUUGGCAUAAAUACCAAGUCCUCGGCGACGCACGCCACGACAAUCGGUGGUUGCGAAACCUCGGUUGCCCGUCGUGUGCGUUCGUCGCGCAUCGAGGGCUCGAAAAAAUGCUCGGCUCCGGCUCGGCUUUCAACGCGACCCCAGGUCAGGCGGGGUUACCCGCUGAAUUUAAGCAUAUCAAUAAGCGGAGGA